GCCGGAGUGGCGGAACUGGCAGACGCGCUGGAUUCAAAAUCCUGUGCCCGCAAGGGCGUGAGGGUUCGACCCCCUCCUCCGGCA
rnacentral:tRNA from 1 species